rnacentral:rRNA from 1 species
UAAAGUCAGACCGCCAAUGAUAUUUUAAAUGGCCGCAGUAGUUUAAUUGUGCAAAGGUAGCAGAAUAAUUUGUUUUAUUAAUUGGAAACUAGCAUGAAUGGUCAAACGAAAGAUUGACUGUCUUUUUAAAUCUUAUAUUUUUUAGUUUUCUUUCUCUGUGAAAAAGCAGAGAUGUCUUUAUUAAACGAUAAGACCCUUUAAAACUCUAUAUAAUAUUAAAAGCAUGAGUUUUUAAUUUUUUUAUUUUGUGCUAUUUUUUUAGUGAAUUUUGUUGGGGCGACAGGUAAAUUUAUUGAACUUUACUUUUUUUAUAUCACAAAUUAGUGUUUG